rnacentral:lncRNA from 1 species
UUUGACUAUUACGGCGGGUAUAUAAAAUAAAUUGUAAAUUUAUACACAAAAAUUGUAUUUUUUUUUGUGUGGAGCCUAGCCCACCUUGGGGGGGUGCUUCCUCCCCCCUUACCUACCGCCAACAACUCUCCGCCGGGCGGCGGAGUACAAAUACUCGCCGCUGGCCUCGGCGUUGGGCGCAGAGGUCGUUGUGCUCCCAAGCGCCGCCAAC